rnacentral:rRNA from 1 species
UGUAAGCGUAUACCAAAGUUGUUGCAGUUAAAACGCUCGUAGUCGGAAUUUGGCAGUUCCGGAUGUGUGCACGUCGUGUGCGCACUUCGCGGGGAUUGCUUUUGUGGUCUUGCGUAGGAUGAGGCACUUUUAUUAGUGAACGUCCUCACGCAACCACUUUUUACUGUGAGAAAAUCAGAGUGCUCAAAGCAGGCAUUUGCCGUGAAUGUAUUAGCAUGGAAUAAUAGAAUAGGACUUGGUUCUAUUUUGUUGGUUUGUUGGGACUGAGUAAUGAUUAAGAGGGACAGUCGGGGGCAGUUGUAUUUCGGUGCUAGAGGUGAAAUUCUUAGAUUACCGAAAGACAAACUGCUGCGAAAGCGUCUGCCAAGGAUGUUUUCAUUGA